rnacentral:misc_RNA from 1 species
GACGUAGGGUCCGAGCGUUGUCCGGAGUUACUGGGCGUAAAGGGCGCGCAGGCGGAUCAUCGCAUCGCUGGUGAAAGCCCCCCGCUCAACGGGGGAGGGUCCCGCGAGAUGGGUGAUCUGGAGGCAGGGAGAGGCCAGUGGAAUUCCGGGUGUAGUGGUGAAAUGCGUAGAGAUCCGGAGGAACACCAGUGGCGAAGGCGGCUGGCUGGACCUGACCUGACGCUGAGGCGCGAAGGCGUGGGGAGCGAACGGG